rnacentral:rRNA from 1 species
UACGUAGGAUCCGAGCGUUGUCCGGAUUUAUUGGGUGUAAAGGGAGCGCAGGCGGGUCUAUAAGUCGAGGGUGAAAUCUUACAGCUUAACUGUAAAACUGCCUUCGAUACUGUAGAUCUUGAGUGUAGGAAAGGGCGAUGGAAUUCAUGGUGUAGCGGUGAAAUGCGUAGAUAUCAUGAAGAACACCAGUUGCGAAGGCGGUCGCCUAGCCUAUCACUGACGCUCAUGCUCGAAAGUGUGGGGAGCAAACAGG